rnacentral:rRNA from 1 species
UCCGAAGGGGGCAAUCGUUGUUCGGAAUUACUGGGCGUAAAGGGCGCGUAGGCGGCUUAUCAAGUCAGGCGUGAAAUUCCCGGGCUCAACCUGGGGGCUGCGCUUGAUACUGAUGAGCUUGAAUGCGGGAGAGGAUAGUGGAAUUCCCAGUGUAGAGGUGAAAUUCGUAGAUAUUGGGAAGAACACCGGUGGCGAAGGCGGCUAUCUGGCCCGUAAUUGACGCUGAGGCGCGAAAGCGUGGGGAGCGAACAGG